rnacentral:rRNA from 1 species
UACGUAGGGUGCAAGCGUUGUCCGGAAUUAUUGGGCGUAAAGAGCUCGUAGGCGGUUUGUCGCGUCGAAUGUGAAAACCCGGGGCUCAACCCCGGGCCUGCAUUCGAUACGGGCAGACUAGAGUUCGGUAGGGGAGUCUGGAAUUCCUGGUGUAGCGGUGAAAUGCGCAGAUAUCAGGAGGAACACCGGUGGCGAAGGCGGGUCUCCUGGGCCGAAACUGACGCUGAGGAGCGAAAGCGUGGGGAGCAAACAGG